UCAUAUGCCUGUGAGUGACCUUGUUCAACAUGCAGACUCUGAUUCACUGGCCUGGACCAGGGACUGAGAUCCUGCAUUUCUAACAGGUUCCCAGAAGUUGUCACU
rnacentral:miRNA from 1 species